GUCAGACUAUGGGUGAGAAGGUCCAUGGUCGAGAGGGAAACAGCCCAGACCGUCAAUUAAGGUCCCUAAAUAUAGGCUAAGUGUAGAAGGAGGUGAAGUUGUAAAGACAACCAGGAGGUUGGCUUAGAAGCAGCCAUCCUUUAAAGAAAGCGUAAUAGCUCACUGGUCUAGUGGUUCUGCGCCGAAGAUGUAACGGGGCUAAGUAUGGUACCGAAGCCACGGGUCGAUUCUAAGGAAUCGGCGGUAGGGGAGCGUUCUCCUAAGGGAUGAAGGUAUGCCGUGAGGUAUGCUGGACUAAGGAGAAGUGAUAAUGCUGGCAUGAGUAACGAUAAAACGGGUGAGAAACCCGUUCGCCGUAAACCCAAGGUUUCCUGGGUAAAGCUAAUCUGCCCAGGGUUAGUCGGCCCCUAAGGCGAGGCCGAAAGGCGUAGCUGAUGGGAAACAGGUUAAUAUUCCUGUACCUGCUGGGUAGUCGUUUGAGCGAAGGGGGGACGCAGAAGGGUAGGUCAGCCACCUGUUGGAAUAGGUGGUUCAAGCCUGUAGGCUGGGGACUUAGGCAAAUCCGGGUCCCUGUUAAGGCUGAGAGGUGAUGACGAGUCUAUAAAGACGGAAGUGACUGAGCCCAUGCUGCCGAGAAAAGCCUCUAAGCGAGACUACCUGGUGGACCGUACCGCAAACCGACACAGGUGGGUGGGGUGAGUAACCCAAGGCGCUUGAGAGAACUCUGGCUAAGGAACUCGGCAAAAUGACCCCGUAACUUCGGGAGAAGGGGUGCUCUUGCGGGUGAAGGGAUUUAACUUCUGGAGCCUGGGAGAGCCGCAGAGAAAUGGCGGGGGCGACUGUUUACUAAAAACACAGGUCUCUGCUAAGUCGUAAGACGAAGUAUAGGGACUGACGCCUGCCCGGUGCCGGAAGGUUAAGGGGAUCAGUUAGCCUUCGGGCGAAGCUGUGAACCGAAGCCCCGGUAAACGGCGGCCGUAACUAUAACGGUCCUAAGGUAGCGAAAUUCCUUGUCGGGUAAGUUCCGACCUGCACGAAUGGCGUAACGAUCUCCGCGCUGUCUCGGCCAGAGACUCAGUGAAAUUGAAAUCUCGGUGAAGAUGCCGAGUACCCGCAGCAAGACGGAAAGACCCUGUGCACCUUUACUACAGCUUGACAUUGGACUUUGGGCUAUCAUGUGUAGGAUAGGUGGGAGGCUGUGAAGCCGGUACGCCAGUAUCGGUGGAGCCGCCCUUGAAAUACCACCCUUGGUAGUCUAGGGUUCUAACCCAGAGCCGUGAAUCCGGUCUGGGGACAGUGUCUGGUGGGUAGUUUGACUGGGGCGGUCGCCUCCCAAAGAGUAACGGAGGCGUGCAAAGGUUCCCUCAGGCUGAUUGGAAACCAGCCGUUGAGUGCAAAGGCAUAAGGGAGCUUGACUGUGAGAGAGACAUCUCGAGCAGGGACGAAAGUCGGCCUUAGUGAUCCGGUGGUUCCGCAUGGAAGGGCCAUCGCUCAUCGGAUAAAAGGUACGCCGGGGAUAACAGGCUGAUCGCGUCCAAGAGUUCACAUCGACGACGCGGUUUGGCACCUCGAUGUCGGCUCAUCACAUCCUGGGGCUGGAGCAGGUCCCAAGGGUUUGGCUGUUCGCCAAUUAAAGCGGUACGUGAGCUGGGUUUAGAACGUCGUGAGA
rnacentral:rRNA from 1 species